AAAGGAUUCAGAAGGCUAUUUUGCUCUCAUUUUAUCCUUAGGCUUCAGCAGAAGAAACACUUCCUAUAAAUCUCGCCCAAACAGGAAAGCAAACCUGAAAAUACACUAUCCUCCAGCUAUCAGAAUUAUAUUGAGAUCUACUCACAUUUAUGAUGAUGUUCAGAGAUUCAUCAUUGGGAAGGAAAAUGCACACGCUGCGGCGGUCUUGCAUGACUCUGUUGUGGAAAUUCAAUUUGUUCAUUGUGUUUUGGGCUCUCUGGGUGGUCAGGGCUGGGCUCUGGGUCCUUGGCAAUUCCUCAGGUUCCCAGCACUCCAAAGCCAAGCUCACCUCCUCAUCACACGCCCUGCAGGAGAAGCAUCAGGGUGUCCGACUACGUGGGUUUCAUAGCUGUGGAAAAGCCAAAGGGGAGACUCCUGAAGAAAGGCGGUGAAGACUGUGAAGAGCGGGUCAGGAAGAUGAGCACAGCACUGCUACUCCUGUGGGCACAGGGACAGCAUGUCUCCAGCCAGCGCCACCUUGUUUAAUACAUGGGAACUCACUGAAAUUCAUUCUGUAUUUUGCCCGCAAAGUUUUAAAGCUUUCAUCCACAGUCAGGAAUUAAACUUAUACCAAUGAGAGCCUCACACAUUCAAGGAUGUACUAAGCACUACAGGCCUCACA